GGCGAACGGGUGCGUAAUGCAUGGGAAUCUGCCUAGUAGUGGGGAAUAACCCGGCGAAAGCCGGGCUAAUGCCGCAUACGACCUACGGGUGAAAGCGGGGGAUCGCAAGACCUCGCGCUAUUAGAUGAGCCCAUGUCGGAUUAGCUAGUUGGUAGGGUAACGGCCUACCAAGGCGACGAUCCGUAGCUGGUCUGAGAGGACGGCCAGCCACACUGGGACUGAGACACGGCCCAGACUCCUACAGGAGGCAGCAGUGGGGAAUUUUGGACAAUGGGGGCAACCCUGAUCCAGCGACGCCGCGUGUGUGAAGAAGGCCUGCGGGUUGUAAAGCACUUUCGUUGGGAACGAAAUAUGCCGACCUAAUACGUCGGUAGGCUGACGUUACCCAAAUAAGAAGCACCGGCUAACUCUGUGCCAGCAGCCGCGGUAGUACAGAGGGUGCGAGCGUUAAUCGGAAUUACUGGGCGUAAAGCGCACGUAGGCGGCUAUGUAAGUCAGAUGUGAAAUCCCCGGGCUCAACCUGGGAACUGCAUUUGAGACUGCA
rnacentral:rRNA from 1 species